CUUUGGGUGGAGCUGCAGUAGAGUUGGAGGUAGGAGCUGUAGUGGAGUCAAAGGGAGGAUCGAAGGUAGGAUCUGCAGUGGUGUUGGAGGUAGGAUCUGUAGUGGAGUCGGAGGUAGGAGCUGUAGUGGAGUCGAAGGGAGGAUCGAAGGUAGGAUCUGCAGUGGUGUUGGAGGUAGGAGUUGUAGUGGAGUCAAAGGGAGGAUCGAAGGUAGGAUCUGUAGUGGUGUUGGAGGUAGAAGCUGUAGUGGAGUCGGAGGUAGGAGCUGUAGUGGAGUCGAAGGGAGGAUCGAAGGUAGGAUCUGUAGUGGUGUUGGAGGUAGAAGCUGUAGUGGAGUCGGAGGUAGGAGCUGUAGUGGAGUCGAAGGGAGGAUCGAAGGUAGGAUCUGUAGUGGUGUUGGAGGUAGAAGCUGUAGUGGAGUCGGAGGUAGGAUCGAAGGUAGGAUCUGCAGUGUUAAUGCGAGCUAAAAUAAUUUUCAGGGUUAAUUAAUACAAUAAAGCUACAAUAACGCGUUAACUUGUCCAGUCCUAAUUUUUAUAAAAUCUAAAUCUAAAAUCAAGAGAAGUAUUGUAAUAUAACAUUUUAAUUUUCAUG
ensembl:lncRNA